AAUCUCAGUCUUGUAAAUCGAAACUGAACGUUUGAGUCUGUCCUGUGAUAAGAUCAUGUUGUAAUUAACGGGUGGGACAUGUCCCACUCCUCAGCACACGAGCACUUUACACACGAGACUGUUUGAGAACACGAAUGUUUAUGGCUUAUCUAUGUAUUUAACUGCCAUUAAUAAUUUUCGGACCUAAUAAUACAUUUUAUUAAAGCAUACACACACACAAACACUCCUAUCCUGUCCCACCCACUUCUUCAAAGUUAACUACGCCACUGAAAAAGACCCAUUUCUGAACUCUGAACCAAAGCUUACAACUUCUGUCUUAUUUAUCGCGGAUAGAAGUCUUGCUCAAUCUCGGGUUUUCCUCUGAACAAUGUUCCUCACAGGAAAGUUGCGCCAUGACACGUAAAAAUGAGUUGGGAAAGCCAUUUGAUGGUGAAAUAACGAACUGCUCGGGAGUUGGUGUCGAUAUAGAGUUAGAGACGGUGAAUGUGGUUAACAGUCAG
ensembl:lncRNA